UACGAAGGGUGCAAGCGUUAAUCGGAAUUACUGGGCGUAAAGCGCACGUAGGCGGCUUUGUAAGUUAGAGGUGAAAGCCCGGGGCUCAACCCCGGAAUUGCCUUUAAGACUGCAUCGCUUGAAUCCGGGAGAGGUGAGUGGAAUUCCGAGUGUAGAGGUGAAAUUCGUAGAUAUUCGGAAGAACACCAGUGGCGAAGGCGGCUCACUGGACCGGUAUUGACGCUGAGGUGCGAAAGCGUGGGGAGCAAACAGG
rnacentral:rRNA from 1 species